UGAUGAAGGCUUUUUGACUCUCUCAGAGGGCUAGUCCUAAAGCUGAUUUGAUUCAGAAGAAACUACAGCUCAAAGGAAUGUGUAUGUGUUGGCAUUUCCUUGUCGUGGAAAGUCCCAGCCAGUGAUCAAUUAAAAUUGAAUUGAACAGUUCUGAUAUGUGCUCUGGCCAUGAUGUGCUGCCCCACUACCCGGUCUAAAACCAAUGAGACCAAACAACAAGGGACUGAAGCCUCCAAAACUGCUGGAAGUACUGAGGAACUCCUGAGUGCCCAUGCCAGCAAUCUGCAACUUUGACUUCCCCUCCCCAGGUGGAACAAGCCCCAGCUGCUGUGCAUCUGCUCCCAGUGCUCUCAGUGGGGCCCAGAAACCAUGGAGCCAAGUGACCAUGAACUAAACCUCUGGAACUGAAAGCCAAAACCUACGAACAAAGGAUAUCAUGUAACUUAAAGAAGAUUUCCAAAGCAUUUCAUUUUGGCCUUUUCAAGAGGCUGAAACAUGGGACCUUCUACUUCAACUAUCAUCUCAGCUUCACUUUUCCUGAUCUAUAAAGAACAAGGAUGGGGAAUGAGCACAAAAGAGGCCAGACUUAACUGGAAUGAAGUGUUCAUGUUGAGGGACUAUUUCUGGAUUCUAUAUAUUUCCAUACUCUUCCAACUUCAUUCAGGCAGGACCUCCAUUAGCCCUUUUCUCCAAGUAACCAGUGAGGA
rnacentral:lncRNA from 1 species